rnacentral:SRP_RNA from 1 species
AUGGGGACUAGCCCGGGUGGAUCGACGUCACCUGUAACCUGAAACCGCCGGUACGCAGGGGGCGAAGUUCGAGGAAGGCUUACACGUACUGCCCGAAUUCUCCAUGCUUUCAACGAAGAAACCCUGUCCUGUGAGGUCGAUGGCCAGCAAUCCAACCUUCGGAGGAAGGAACGACCUGUUGUCGCGGGGAUCGGUCCAGGCCCGGAAGGGAGCAGACUUACCGUGAACGUUCGGCGCCCAUGGGGUUGCGGGGCGGAGGAGAAGGCUUGAGACCAGGGUUGCAACGGUCUGUCGACCGAGAACGUGUCCCUAU